AGGGGAUUUUGGAACACGGAGAACCUCUGGGGAUUAUCACUGGCUCAGACACCUCAUUACACAGCUUUGGAGGCCAAGUGACAGGAGAGCCCCGGGGGCCAGCGAGAUCCUGGAGACGAACUUCUUGAAGACGCAUCAAAGAAAUCAGACUUGAUGAUACUGAUGUAACAACUCAGACUGUAUGAAGUGCCAGCUUGUCUCCUUUAAACUCAUAUUACAUGUGAGAAAUAAAGGAUUUUCUCAUGGAAAACUAGAAAUAAAGAGUGCUGCAAUCUGGCACAUAAUGAAACCUCAAGAUUCAAGACUGUUUUUGUUAUUCUGUGUAUCCUGGGGUCCGGAACAGCGCCUAACACAGGGUAAAGCAUUAUGCAUGUCUGCGGAAUGGUUAAUCGUUGAAUAUCAGGAUCAUUGAUGUUGGAAUUUUCUAAAGAAGCAGAGUAAAAGGACUUUAGCAUCAGGUGUAAGAUCAGGAGAAGUCCCCCUACCCCCACACCAUGAGCUAAGCUUAACCUGGAGAUGGGGCAACCUUUCCAAUUCCAAAGUCAGCAUGAGAAGAAACAGUGACUUGUAG